rnacentral:rRNA from 1 species
AUACAGAGGGUGCAAGCGUUAUCCGGAAUUACUGGGUUUAAAGGGUGCGUAGGCGGUCCCAUAAGUCUGUCGUGAAAUGCAGCGGCUUAACCGCAUGAACUGCGAUGGAUACUGUGGGACUUGAAUAAGGUUGAGGCAGGCAGAAUGUGGCAUGUAGCGGUGAAAUGCUUAGAUAUGCCAUAGAACACCGAUUGCGAAGGCAGCUUGCCAAGCCUUUAUUGACGCUGAGGCACGAAAGUGUGGGGAGCAAACAGGAUUAGAUACCCUGGUAGUCCACACCCUAAACGAUGUUUACUCGUUGUUUGUCUUUCGGGAUGAGCGACCAAGCGAAAGCGUUAAGUAAACCACCUGGGGAGUACGCCGGCAACGGUGAAACUCAAAUGAAUUGGCGGGG